UCAGGCUCUUUCAUCUUCUCCCUUGAAGAAGACUGGGCGGUUACUGAAUGGGCACAUGCGAAAGCCACCCUUACCACAGAUGAACACUUUGAGCACAAUGGAGUGGAUUAUUGGUAAUCUGUCCAAGUCUCACCCAAACCUGUGCAAAGUCGCUACAGUGGGACUGCUUCUACCAACCUCCACAGCUGAUUGUGAGAGAGGUUUCAGCAGUUGAAUGUGUAAAGACCACCCACCAUUCACCAGUGAGCAUGAAAGUGCUUAAUGCCUUACUCAUGGUGUCCAUGCAGGGACAAAAAAUGAAUGACUUUAAUUUCAGUGGUGCAGUAAAGGAAUGGCACAGUGCCAAAGACAGACACUUAUA
rnacentral:lncRNA from 1 species